rnacentral:misc_RNA from 1 species
AAGACGAAGCCAUAGUGGGAGUGCAUGACAAAAUUUGCACUCUGAAUUAGAUUUUCAGAAAUGCAAUGGGAUUCUUAUGAGUGUGGUAAUGUGGGUAAUAACUCCCAAUGAGUGGUAGUUUGGGAUUCUUAUGUUGUUUUGUGAUAUUCGCCUAAAAAAUUCUAAUAAUCUGAAAUUUUAAUAUCCAGUGACAUUUCAUCAAAAGAGUGAACAGACGUGAAAUAAAAUUUUCUUGCAAGUAUUUUAGUUAAUCAA